rnacentral:rRNA from 1 species
GUUGAUCCUGCGGGAGGUUGCUGCUAUCAGGAUUCGAAUUAGCCAUGCAAGUCCAGGGGAUUCUUCGGAAUCACCGGCAAAAUGCUCAGUAACACGUUGAUAAUCUUCCCUUAAGUCUAGGAUAACCCCGGGAAACUGAGGCUAAACCUGGAUAUGAGAUUUGGAUUGGAAAAUUAUUUCUCUGAAAGGUAACGCUUAAGGAUGAGUCAGCGGCUGAUUAGGCUGAUGGCGGGGUAAUGGCCCACCAUACCUUCGAUCAGUACGGGUCUUGAGAGAGAUAGCCCGGAGAGGGACACUGAGAUAAGGGUCCCAGCCCUACGGGGUGCAGCAGGCGCGAAAACUUUACAAUGCACGAGAGUGUGAUAAGGGAAUCCUGAGUGCCCAUGUUCUGCAUGGGCUUUUCUUAAGAGUAAAUAUCUUGAGGAAUAAGUGGUGGGAAAGACCGGUGCCAGCCGCCGCGGUAACACCGGCGCCACAAGUGGCAGCCACGAUUAUUGGGCCUAAAGCGUCCGUAGCCGGUUUAAUAAGUCUUCUGUGGAAUCGUCGGGCUUAACCCGACGGCGUGCAGGAGAUACUAUUAGACUAGGAACCGGGAGGGGUUAGAGGAAUUCCAGGGGGAGCGGUAAAAUGUGAUAAUCCCUGGAGGACCACCGGUGGCGAAGGCGUCUAACCAGAACGGAUUCGACGGUGAGGGACGAAAGCUAGGGGAGCAAAACGGAUUAGAUACCCGAGUAGUCCUAGCAGUAAACGCUGCGAGCCAGGCGUUGCAUGUUCUACGUGAACAUGCAGUGUCGAAACGAAGGUGUUAAGCUCGCCGCCUGGGAAGUACGGUCGCAAGGCUGAAACUUAAAGGAAUUGGCGGGGGCGCACUACAAGGAGUGCGGCGUGCGGUUUAAUUUGAUGCUACGCGGAAAACCUCACCAGGGGCGACGGCAGAAUGAAAGUCAGAUUAAUGAUCUUACUUAACAAGCCGAGAGGUAGUGCAUGGCCGCCGUCAGCUCGUGCUGUAAAGUGUCCUUUUAAGUAAGGCAACGAGCGAGACCUGUACCCACAAUUGCUAGCAGCUUUUUUAGAAGGACUGUGCACAUUGUGGGGACUGCCUUGGAAACAAGGAGGAAGGUGCAGGCAACGGUAGGUCCGUAUGCUCCGAAUCUCCUGGGCUACACGCGCGCAACAAUGGUUGGGACAUUGGGAUGCAACUCCGAGAGGAGAAGUUAAUCCUCGAAACCCAAUCUUAGUCUAGAUCGAGCUUUGGAACCCAGGCUCGUGACAAUGGAAUUCCUAGUAAUCGGAUUUCAUUACAGUCCGGUGAAUAUGUCCCUGUGCCUUGCACACACCGCCCGUCAAUCCAUCCGAGCAGGUAUUAGGUGAGGCUUAAUCAUAUUGAUUCGGUCAAACCUGGUGCCAGUGAGGCAGGAUAAGUCGUCACAAGGUA